UCACCGCUUGCGCGGGCAGUUUCUUUAGAGUCCCCGACAUUACUCGCUGGCAACUAAAGAUAGGGGUUGCGCUCGUUAUGGGACUUAACCCGACACCUCACGGCACGAGCUGACGACAACCAUGCAGCACCUUGUAAAUUGCCCGAAGGAGGACUGGUUUCCCAGCCUGUCAAUCUACAUUUAAGCCCAGGUAAGGUUCCUCGCGUAUCAUCGAAUUAAACCACAUGCUCCACCGCUUGUGCGGGCCCCCGUCAAUUCCUUUGAGUUUCAGGCUUGCGCCCGUACUCCCCAGGUGGGAUACUUAUCACUUUCGCUUAGCCACUCAGGUAAACCCGAACAGCGAGUGAUCAUCGUUUACGGCGUGGACUAC
rnacentral:misc_RNA from 1 species